CCUACGGGGGGCAGCAGUGGGGAAUAUUGGACAAUGGGGGGAACCCUGAUCCAGCCAUGCCGCGUGUGUGAAGAAGGCCCUCGGGGUGUAAAGCACUUUCAGUGAGGAAGAACGCCUGGUGGUUAAUACCCAUCAGGAAAGACAUCACUCACAGAAGAAGCACCGGCUAACUCCGUGCCAGCAGCCGCGGUAAUACGGAGGGUGCGAGCGUUAAUCGGAAUUACUGGGCGUAAAGCGCGCGUAGGUGGCUUGAUAAGCCGGGUGUGAAAGCCCCGGGCUCAACCUGGGAACGGCAUCCGGAACUGUCAAGCUAGAGUGCAGGAGAGGAAGGUAGAAUUCCCGGUGUAGCGGUGAAAUGCGUAGAGAUCGGGAGGAAUACCAGUGGCGAAGGCGGCCUUCUGGACUGACACUGACACUGAGGUGCGAAAGCGUGGGUAGCAAACAGGAUUAGAUACCCCUGUAGUC
rnacentral:rRNA from 1 species